UUUAAAUAAUAGAAAACAGUGCAAGGUCAAUGAUGUAAUCGCUUAUUUGACAGUUGUAAACAAAGUGAAAGAAACGUUGCAUUCUGGUAACCACUUCCGAACGUGUCUGCAACGUUGCACCCGAAAAUUCGGUCGAAUGUUUGAGAAGGAUGUUGUAACCGAAAAUUCGGUCGAACUUUUGAGAAGGAUGUUGUAACAACGUUGCUUCUAGAUAAAGUAUUGUGCUACUUCAGUCUGCGUCGUGAAUAGCCUUAUAACGCAGGCGGAUUAC